rnacentral:lncRNA from 1 species
AAACCUGAAGUAAGGAGAAUAAUCGGAUUCUUUCAGUUCCUGCCUCUAUCAGUUGCUAUACUGUGCCUCUUCUCUCCCUGCAGUGAGACACAGUUACUAACAGCACUCUGUGGCAUCUACUGUUACAAUACGCUUUUGCUUCCAUUCAAGCAUAUAGAGGCUCCUAAGAGCUGGGCAACAGAGGUAUUUAUUAUGUCAUCGUCCUCUUCUCUGAAGGGCUCUGACUCUUCACAAGUGACAGGCAGCUAUCUCCGAG